rnacentral:rRNA from 1 species
AGAGGUGGCGAGCGUUGUUCGGAUUUAUUGGGCGUGAAGCGAACGCAGGUGGUUUGGUAAGUCAGGGGUGAAAGCCCACAGCUUAACUGUGGCACUGCCUUUGAUACUGCCUUUCUUGAGUGCAUGAGGGGGAAGCGGAAUUCUGAGUGUAGAGGUGAAAUUCGUAGAUAUUCGGAGGAACACCGGUGGCGAAGGCGGCUUCCUGGCAUGUAACUGACACUCAUGUUCGAAAGCGUGGGUAGCAAACAGGAUUAGAUACCCUGGUAGUCCACGCCCUAAACGAUGGGCACUAGGUGUGAGAGGUAUCGACCCCUUCCGUGCCGCAGCUAACGCAUUAAGUGCCCCGCCUGGGGAGUACGGCCGCAAGGUUG